ensembl:lncRNA
UUUCUAGCUAAAAUACAUAGCUAUAGUAAUAACACCCAAAUGGCACUGGCACAAAAGCAAAUAUAUUGAUCCCUGGAAUCUAAUCAAAGACCCAGACAUUAAUUCACACUUCAGUGGACACCUGAAUUUUUUUAUAAGGAUCCAGAAAUACACAAUAGAAAAAAGAAAAGAUCUUCAACAAAUGGUGUUGGAUUCAUUGGUUGUCUACAUAUAGAAGAAUGCAAAUGGAUCCAUAUUUGUCAACCUGCACAAAAUUAAAGUCCAAAUACUUCAAUGACCUCAUCAUAAAAUCAGACACACUGAACAAGAAGGAAGAGAAAUAAAAGCAUAGUUUUGAAUAUAUUGGUAUUGGAGGAAAUUCCCUAAGCAGAAAACUUACAGAGCCAGCACUAAGAUAGGGAAGUAAUAUAUGGGGCCAUAUGAAAGUGAAAUCUUCUAUAAGUGAAAGCACACCAGCAACAGGACAAAAUGGCAACCUACAGAAAAAUAAAAUAUUUUCACAACUCCAAAUCCAAUAGAGGGCUAACAUCCAAAUAUAUAAAGAAUUCAAGAAAGUAGACAUCAGUAAAUCAAACAAGCCAAUUUAAAAGUGGGUGGAGUUGGAGAAAGGACAGAAAGGGAGAGCAAGAAAAUAGAUACCUUGAUAGAGGCAACCAUUAGUGGGUUAAUAAGAAACCUAUCUACUAGGGAAAUUCCCGGGAAUCCACAAGGCUGACCUCAAGGAAGAAUCUAAGUGAUAGUUUAGAGGGUACUGCCCUUCCACUAUCAGUUUGAUGACUGUCUUAAUUGCUACUAUAUAUGCUUUAUCUAGUAACUGAUGGAAGGAGAUACAUUGAUCCACAGCCUAACACUAGUCGGGACUACUGGAGUCCACUUGUAGAGAAGGAAGAGUGAUAAUAUGAGCAAAAGGUGUCAAGACCAUGUUGGAGAAAACCACAGCUUAGUUGGCCUAAGCAAGUAGGAGCUCAUUGACUCCAGACUGACAGCUAGGGAACCGACAUAACACCAAACAAUGUUCUUUGAAUGUGAGUGACAGUGGAGAGUUUGGGCAUUUUAUGGGGCCACUGGCAGUGGAACCAGUAGUCAUCCAAAGUUCAAGAACUGGCUUUUCUGCAGUCCAUUCCUUAUGGAGGGAUACUUUCUUCAGCCUAGAUACACAGAAAAGGGCCUUGCUCCUUCCCCAAAUGAUGUGACAGACUUUGAUGAUACCUCAUGGGAGGCCUCACCCUCUCUGAGGUGUGGAUCAGGGGGUGGGGUGGUGAGACAGAUGGGAAAAUGGGAGUACAGGAGGAAGAGGGAAGUAGGAUUGGUAUGUAAAAGAAGAUUGUUUUCAAAAUAAAAAAGUUUUAAGUAAUGCAAAAAUAAAAUAUCCUUUACAGGUCACAAAAAAAAAGCAUAAAGUGAGUUUAGAGUAAUCUCAAAUGGCUAAGCAACACUUAAAGAAAUACUCAACAUCCUUUUCCAUCAGAGAAAUGAAAAUCUAAAUGAUUUUGAGAUUCCAUCCUAUUCCUGUUACAGUGGCUCAGAUCAUCAACACAAAUGAUACCUCAGGAUGAUCCUGUGAGAUUCAUUCCUAGUAAUGGCCAAUAUGGAACCUGAACCAGCCAUCUCCUGCAACCGGAGGUGGUACAGGGACACCAAUCCACCAUCAAAAUCUAUUACCCAGAGUGGGCCCUGCCUGCAAGAUGCACUGGAGCAAUGGUGGCUCAGAACUUGUGAACUGACUUCAAACUGGGAAGUGCUUGAGACACAGUGAGGAGGUUUGGAAGACAAAUGGGAACUGUGGAGCUAUCUUGCACCAGCCCCAGUGAUCGAAUUCCUUCAGCUACUAUUCAAAAUUUUCUACCUCAGGUGUUUCUGGCAUAUAUGGCCAGACAUGAGUGUGAAUCUCAGCAAACAACUCAUGGGAGUCAAUUCUCUCUUUCCAUCAUGUGAGACCCAAGGAUUGAACUCAGGCCAUUAAGAUAGGCUAUAAGCACUUUUACCUGUUGAGAUACUUCAUUGACUCCUGACAUCACAAAUAAAUCUCCCUUCAUAACCAGAAAUCAUUUUCCAUCAUUAUGUCUUCAUUCUGCAACGGGAAACUUCCCUGAACACUCUUCCUUACUCUUUGCUGCCUUAUGAAAUGAUCAUGUAUGAUACCUUUUAGUAAUAUUUCUGCUUACUUUCACAUAAAUUCUUUUCUGUGUCCUUUUAUUGUACUCUAUUAGAAUGAAAAAAAAACAAAAAAAGAGCCACGAAAUAGUUACUUAAUUCAUUGGAACUUUGUGUAUGUUUUCCUUCAGCAAUGUUUUACAUUUCCUCUUGAGAACAGACUACUUCCACUUUCCUCAGCCCUAACUGAUUCUACCUGUGGAAGAGACAGUCAUGUAAAUAGCUAUUCCCCUGAAAUGCCUUUUCUCAUGUUUAAUCACACUGGGAUGCUUUUAUCUUGAAACCAAAUUCACUUAUUUUGCUGAAUUGAGCUCUCAGUUGGAAAUAGAGCUGGAAAAAAACAACUUUAAUCUGUGUUAGGGAUUAUUUUUUCUUUUUGUCUUGAAUACUUAGAUGAAAAAGAAAAUAU